rnacentral:rRNA from 1 species
GGGCUACACACGUACUACAAUGGUGGGUACAAAGGGCAGCGAAACCGCGAGGUCGAGCGAAUCUCAAAAAACCCAUCAUAGUCCGGAUUGCAGUCUGCAACUCGACUGCAUGAAGUUGGAAUAGAGUUUGAUCCUGGCUCAGCAUGCCGGGGUGAAUACGUUCCCGGGCCUUGUACACACCGCCCGUCACACCACGAAAGUUGGUUCUACCCGAAGUCGCCGGGCUAACCGCAAGGAGGCAGGCGCCGACGGUAGGGCUGAUGAUUGGGGUGAAGUCGUAACAAGGUAACC